UUAAAAGAAUUUAUAUAAUAGAGAAACAGAUCAGACAUAAGUCGUUAAAAACAACCAUACAAUAAAAAUGAUUAAAACCUAGUUUUAACUGCCGAAACAUUAAACAGAGUAUCCAAACCAGAUCAAAUUGAACAGAGUACCAGUUAACGAGAUUUGAUAUGUUAAGAACAAUAAAAGGCAUUCAUUUAUUUUAAGAAUUUUGAGAAAUAUGCUAUAUUUUGUCACAAAAAAGAGUGAUGCUAUAUCACUUUGCAUCUUGGGAGAAUGUACUAUAAACAAUGCAUCCUGGGAGAAUGUAUUUUAACAAUGCAUCUGGGGAGAAUGUAUUUUAACAAGUAGCUAUUUUAUAGCUGGUAAAGAUAUAACAAGAAAUAACAACAUUUAAAGAUUAUAAAAAUAAACAAAUAUGAAAAAUGCAAACAUGAUGUAAACAAUGAAAUUCUUC
rnacentral:lncRNA from 1 species